UAAACAGCCAAAUAAGACAGAAUAGUAAGGAUGUUAAAAUAUGCCAUGUUCUGGUUAAUUAUUAUUUCCUUGUAAUAAUAAGAUCAGAAAGGAAUUCAGGGACUAAAAUAUUGACAUAAGUCAUAAAUAACCUGAAGUUUGAGUUAUUUAUUUCUAUGCUACCAUUGCUGUAAGGUAAUUAAGAAGUGCUACUAUUCACAAUAGCAAAGAAUUGGAACCAACCCAAAUGUCAAUAAUAGACUG
rnacentral:lncRNA from 1 species